UUUUCAGGUUCAGGCAUCUACA
rnacentral:siRNA from 1 species